rnacentral:tRNA from 1 species
GGCAGUGUAGUGUAAUGGGUACGAAACUGGGCUUGUAACCUAGAGGCUGCAGGUUCGAUUCCCGGAUAGGACACUGUCG